rnacentral:rRNA from 1 species
AGGACAAACGCUGGCGGCGUGCAUAAAACAUGCAAGUCGGACGAGCCAAUCUCCGCAAGGGGAAAGGCUAGUGGCGAACGGCUGAGUAACACGUAGGUGAUCUGCCCUGAAGUGGGGGAUAACGACUCGAAAGAGUCGCUAAUACCGCAUGUGACCAUCGAUCCGUUUUCGAUGCUCAAAGUCGUAAGACGCUUUAGGAGGAGCCUGCGGCGGAUUAGCUAGUUGGUGAGGUAAUGGCCCACCAAGGCUUCGAUCCGUAGCUGGUCUGAGAGGAUGGCCAGCCAGACUGGGACUGAGACACGGCCCAGACUCCUACGGGAGGCAGCAGUUAGGAAUUUUGCGCAAUGGGGGAAACCUGACGCAGCCACGCCGCGUGCGGGAUGAAGGCCUUCGGUCGUAAACCGCCUUUCUCGAGGAAGACACCGACGGUACUCGAGCAUAAGCAACGGCUAACUACGUGCCAGCAGCCGC